AGUUUGUUGCUCUCCAGUUGUCUCGGCAACCCAAAGAAGUCGAGAUAUAUAUCAGGAAAAACAAGGAUGCAUGCUUGUCAGCCAAUUACACUCGUAAAUACGAGACAAAGCCAGAACAGCCUAAUGGUUUAGAGAGACUGUGGGAAGAGAAUUCUCUUUCGGAUCUCUACCCUUCCCUCGCCACCUGUCAAAGGAGAUCUGGCCCAUGCUAUUCUAUUGGACCCUUGUGCUCUGGUUCUGGAAUAUCUACAGAGAGACAUUAUUUGCUUCCUUCACAUUUUAGAGGUACCAAAGGCUUUUCUAGCAACAGUCCUACUAUUUCAUUUUGUCACCUUAAAAAAGAGAAUGAAUGUUAUUUGAUUCUUCACACAAUGCGAUGUUUUCUUCACACAGUAGUACUUGAAGGUACCCAAUGGUGUCGGUAAGGAUUUUGUCAUCAACAAUGGUGCAUGCUCUUGUUCCACGGAUUUGGGAUGUUUUAUUCUCUACUUGCUUUCCUGCUUAUAGAUUUGGUUGUCCUCAAAUGGUUUCACCUAAUACAUUUUCUGCCUUUACUGGCUUUUAAUCUCUCUCUCUACUGAUUUGUUUUAUGCUUGCAGAUGAAGUGAUUCCCUCGCAGUUGUGUCCUUCACAAAGAAAGGAUGUAAAGCCACACUCUUAUCAUGCAACAAACUAGAGCUGUGACACAACUAUAACAGAGGAAUCAUCGCCCAUUAGCACACUAAAAUUGGCACAUACAGAGAACGCGCCUGCGGAGUGGGAUUAUCUGAACAUAGAGGCCAACACACUUGAGUCACUCGAGCUCCGCGCAAAGCUCCUGGAGCAGGAGAGGCUCGAUGAGCUCACCAGCGCUCUUCGGCCAUUUGGUGAGGGAGCCGUGUCAUCUAGAGAGAUGGACAGACGGUGAUAUGGUUGACCAAGAGCUUGAUGACUCCACCGAAGUUUCGAGAGUCCCCAACAAAGCUUCUAUAGCAGCGAUUCAUUUUAGCAUUUUUGUUUUUUUGAGUGCCAUUUCGAGAGUGUACAUAACAUCAACAAAAUUCAGGAUUGAUGUGCUUAUCUAGGCUUGAGCCCUAUUUAUGUUCGGUGUAUAUUGUUUGCAUGUAACCAACCGUUGUGAGCGAUGACUGAUUAUUUACUGUCUUCUUGUUUUAUCUAUCUUUACUCCUUUUCAUAUAACA